UGCAUGGCCGCGUCAGUUCGUACUGUGAAGCAUCCUGUUAAGUCAGGCAACGAGCGAGACCCACGCCCACAGUUGCCAGCGUACUCUCUGGAGUGACGGGUACACUGUGGGGACCGCCGCUGCUAAAGCGGAGGAAGGAAUGGGCAACGGUAGGUCAGUAUGCCCCCGAAUAUCCCGGGCUACACGCGAGCUACAAUGGUUGGUACAAUGGGUAUCUACCCCGAAAGGGGACGGGAAUCUCCUAAAACCAAUCUUAGUUCGGAUUGAGGGCUGCAACUCGCCCUCAUGAAGCUGGAAUCCGUAGUAAUCGCGUUUCAACAGAACGCGGUGAAUACGUCCCUGCUCCUU
rnacentral:rRNA from 1 species